UGAUGACGAGACGCCAAGGCGUUGAAGUAGUGUAUGUCAGGCUUCCAAGAAAAGCUCGCAAUGUUGUAAGUAAAAAAUGCCUGUACCAUAACCGACACAGGUGGGUAGGUAGAGUAUACUAAGGGGCGCGAGAUAACUCUCUCUAAGGAACUCGGCAAAAUGACUCCGUAACUUCGGGAGAAGGAGUGCCUUAUUCUAUAAGGUUGCAAUAACAAGAUCCAAGCAACUGUUUAUCAAAAACACAGGUCUCCGCUAAGUCGUAAGACGAAGUAUGGGGGCUGACGCCUGCCCAGUGCCAGAAGGUUAAAGAAGUUGGUUAGUGUAAACGAAGCUGAUAACUGAAGCCCUGGUGAACGGCGGCCGUAACGAUAACGGUCCUAAGGUAGCGAAAUUCCUUGUCGGGUAAGUUCCGACCCGCACGAAAGGCGUAAUGAUUUGGAUACUGUCUCGGAGAGAGGCUCGGUGAAAUAGACUUGUCUGUGGAGAUGCGGACUACCUGCACCAGGACAGAAAGACCCUAUGAAGCUUUACUGUAACUUGAAAUUGGAAUUGGACUUUAUUCGCGCAGCAUAGGUGGGAGACAUUGAAGAUAUUCUUGCGGGAGUAUCGGAGUCAUUAGUGAGAUACCACUCUUGUAAUGUUAGAUUUCUAACUUUGAACCAUUAUCUGGUCAAAGAACAGUUUCAGGCGGGCAGUUUGACUGGGGCGGUCGCCUCCCAAAUGGUAACGGAGGCGUACAAAGGUUUCCUCUGAACGGGUAGAAAUCGUAUCUAGAGUGUAAAGGCAUAAGGAAGCUUGACUGUGAGACCUACAAGUCGAGCAGGGACGAAAGUCGGUCUUAGUGAUCUGACGGUACUGAGUGGAAAGGCCGUCACUCAACGGAUAAAAGUUACUCUAGGAUAACAGGCUGAUCUCCCCCAAGAGUUCACAUCGACGGGGAGGUUUGGCACCUCGAUGUCGGCCCAUCGCAUCCUGGGGCGGUAGUACGUCCCAAGGGUUGGGCUGUUCGCCCAUGAAAGCGGUACGCGAGCUGGGUUCAGAACGUCGUGAGACAGUUCGGUCCAUAUCCGGUGUAGGCGUUAGAAUAUUGAGAGGAGCCUUCUUUAGUACGAGAGGACCGAGAAGGACAUACCGCUGGUGUACCAGUUAUCGUGCCAACGGUAAACGCUGGGUAGCUAUGUAUGGAGUGGAUAACCGCUGAAAGCAUCUAAGUGGGAAGCCCACCUCAAGAUGAGUAUUCUCAUC
rnacentral:rRNA from 1 species